GCAAUGCUGCCGUGCGCCGCGGGAGCCAGGGGGCGUGGGGCCAUGGUGGUCUUGCGGGCGGGGAAGAAGACCUUUCUCCCCCCUCUCUGCCGCGCCUUCGCCUGCCGCGGCUGUCAACUCGCUCCGGAGCGCGGCGCCGAGCGCAGGGAUACGGCGCCCAGCGGGCCGCCUCAGGCCUUUGUCCAGGUGCUCUCGCGUCCUAUCCCGAACAGUCCCGCAGCCCCGAGGCUCCCGCAUCAACGCCCUCAGUCGGAUGGGACUGAGGGUGCCGCCGCCACCACGCCGGGGACUGUUGACAGCCAGAACCUUUAAGCGUAACAGAGUCACCUGGUCUCAAGAUUCUGCCCUCCAAGAAAGUCUUGCCAUGAUUGGAUAGGACCCCCAGAUAAAUAUUCAAACCUUCGACCUGUUCACUUUUACAUACCUGAAAAUGAAUCUCCAUUGGAACAAAAGCUUAGAAAAUUAAGACAAGAAACACAAGAAUGGAAUCAACAGUUCUGGGCAAACCAGAAUUUGACUUUUAGUAAGGAAAAAGAAGAAUUUAUUCACUCAAGACUAAAAACUAAAGGCCUGGGCCUGAGAACUGAAUCAGGUCAGAAAGCAACAUUGAAUGCAGAAGAAAUGGCGGACUUCUACAAGGAAUUUUUAAGUAAAAAUUUUCAGAAGCACAUGUAUUAUAACAGAGAUUGGUACAAGCGCAAUUUUGCCAUCACCUUCUUCAUGGGAAAAGUGGCCCUGGAAAGGAUUUGGAACAAGCUUAAACAGAAACAAAAGAAGAGGAGCAACUAGGAGUCCACUCUGACCCAGCCAGAGUCCAGGUUUCCACAGGAAGCAGAUGGAGCUCCUUUCACAGGGGCUCUGAGAAAAACUGGAGCUGAUCUCAAGAAGCCCCACAUCUUCCUAAGGGGCCCCAUGGCCUGUUUGGGGGCAGGGUAGGUCCUGGGGCACUGUGGGCCGCCUGCCUGCUGAUGUGGGCUCUAGGCCAGCUUGUUGUCACGUACGUGGUGUGAAAUAAAGCCCAAGCACUGGGUGCCCGUUUCCUGUGUUUCGAAUUAUACCAAUUCAAAACAGAACUAUUUAAAAAUAUUGGCCAGGCACGGUGGCUCACACCUGUAAUCCCAGCACUUUGGGAGGCCGAGGCGGGUGGAUCACUUGAGAUCAGGAGUUCAAGAUCAGUCUGGACAACAUGGCAAAACCCUGUCUCUACAAAAAAUUAGCUGGGUGUGGUGGCACGCACCUGUAAUCCCAGCUGCUCUGGAGGCUGAGGCAUGCGACGCUUGAACCCAGGAGGCGGAGGUUGCAGUGAUCCAAGAUCGCACCACUGCACUCCAGCCUGGAAGACCAAACGAGACUCUGUAUCAAAAAAUAAUAAUAAUUAAUAAAGUUUUACUGGAAAAAAGAA